AUGUAGGUAUCUGCCCUUUGGCCUGGAAUAACACGAGGAAACUUGUGCUAAUACCGGAUAAGUCUUUACGGAGAAAGCUUUAUGCACCAUUGGAUGAGCCUGCACUUGAUUAGUUUGUUGGUGGGGUAAUGGCCUACCAAGACUGUGAUCAAUAGCUGAUUUGAGAGGAUGAUCAGCCACAUUGGGACUGAGACACGGCCCAAACUCCUACGGGAGGCAGCAGUGGGGAAUCUUGCACAAUGGAGGAAACUCUGAUGCAGCGAUGCCGCGUGAGUGAAGAAGGCCUUUGGGUUGUAAAGCUCUUUCGUCGGGG
rnacentral:rRNA from 1 species